CCUACGGGUGGCAGCAGUGGGGAAUAUUGCACAAUGGGGGAAACCCUGAUGCAGCGACGCCGCGUGAGUGAAGAAGUAUUUCGGUAUGUAAAGCUCUAUCAGUAGGGAAGCAAAUGACUGUACCUGUUUACGAAUCCCCUGCUAACUACGUGCCAGCAGCCGCGAUAAUACGUAGGGGGCAAGCGUUAUCCGGAUUUACUGGGGGUAAAGGGAGCGUAGACGGCAGCGCAAGUCUGAAGGGAAAUGCCCGGGCUUAACCCCGGAACUGCUUUGGAUACUGUGCAGCUAGAGUGCAGGAGAGGUAAGUGGAAUUCCUAGUGUAGCGGUGAAAUGCGUAGAGAUUAGGAGGAACACCGGUGGCGAAGGCGGCUUACUGGACUGUAACUGACGUUGAGGCUCGAAAGCGUGGGGAGCAAACAGGAUUAGAUACCCCAGUAGUC
rnacentral:rRNA from 1 species